GGGAGUGUGGCUGAGUGGCCAAUAGCAACAGACUGUAAAUCUGUCGUCUUCGGACUACGGGGGUUCGAAUCCCUCCGCUCCCA
rnacentral:tRNA from 1 species